GGAGCUGUGCCUGAACUAAAGGAUUACUUUGAUAGAGUAAAUAAUGGGGGUUAAAAUCCCUCCAACUCCU
rnacentral:tRNA from 1 species